rnacentral:misc_RNA from 1 species
AUUAUAUAGAUGAUCCUGAAACAUGCAGAAUCAAAGAAGCAGAAAAUCUUGAUUCCAUGGAAAUAUGUGACAACACUGAACAAGUUUCCCAGAUGAGUACACCACGUACUUAAAGAGUUAAAAAUCAAGGAAUAAUUGUUUCGCCAUAUCUAUCAGAAAAUACGUCACGGAAACAAUCGUUGAGAACUGUGUUGAUGUAUAUGAGAAAAGAAUUUCAGAAAAAAAUUAAAAUGUUACAACAAAAGCAACGACGAACCAUUAAGUGUGUUGCAAAAUUGAAAGAUGUAUUGACAUGUUUGAAAAAAAACAAAUCUUAAUGCAGAACAGCUGGAUGUCUUUAACAGAUUUAGACUUAUUUCUCUCAUCCGAUAACGGACAGAAAAGUUAUUGUAUUUCUCGACCCAUGCCAUUGUGUGAAACUGUUACGUAAUUGUAUUGGAGAACAUAAAUCAAUAAUUGAUGACAAUGGUGAUAUGAUCCAAUGGGAACAUUUUACGAAGCUUAAUGAUAUUCAAGUUAAGGAAAGUCUACACUUGGGUAAUAAAUUAAGAACGCGUCAUAUACAAUACCAUAAACAAAAAAUGAAGUAAAACUCGCAGUGUAAAUCUUCAAUAACUCUGUAGCUGAUGCAUUAGAAAUUUGUAAAAAUGAUUUACGAUAUCCAGAAUUUGCAAAUUCGGUCCCAACGAUGAGAUUCAUUCGAAUAAUAAAUGAUCUUUUUGAUAUCUUAAAUUCGAGGAACAUGAAACAGAUAGGGUUCAAACAACCGUUAAAUAAAAACAAUAGUUCUAUAAUUUUGGAAAAAUUAAAAGAAGGCUAUAAUUUCCUAUCACAAUUGCGAAAGACAGAUGGUCAAUUGUUGAUUUAUUCUAAAAAUAAAUGUGCAUUCCUCGGUUUUAUGAUAUGUAUCAAAAGUAUAACAAUACUUUAUAAAGAUUUAGUUGUUAGUCAAGACGUAUUAAAAUAUAUACCAGGUUAUAAAUUUAACCAAGAUCACGUUGAAUUGUUAUUCAGCUCUAUACGAGCUCAUGGAGGUCCUAACAAUAACCCGACGGCUCGGCAAUUUAAAGCCGCUUAUAAAAACAAAUUUUUGUCCAUACAGAGA